AUACGUAGGGGCCAAACGUUGUCCGGAUUUAUUGGGCGUAAAGGGCUCGUAGGCGGUUCAACAAGUCGAUCGGGAAAGCCCGGGGCUCAACCCCGGGACGCCGGUCGAAACUGUUGUGACUAGAGUUCGGUAGAGGUGAGUGGAAUUCUCGGUGUAGCGGUGGAAUGCGCAGAUAUCGAGAGGAACACCAUUAGCGAAGGCGGCUCACUGGGCCGAUACUGACGCUGAGGAGCGAAAGCAUGGGGAGCAAACAGGAUUAGAAACCCCAGUAGUCC
rnacentral:rRNA from 1 species